AGAGUUUGAUCAUGGCUCAGAUUGAACGCUGGCGGCAGGCCUAACACAUGCAAGUCGAACGGUAACAGGAAGAAGCUUGCUUCUUUGCUGACGAGUGGCGGACGGGUGAGUAAUGUCUGGGAAACUGCCUGAUGGAGGGGGAUAACUACUGGAAACGGUAGCUAAUACCGCAUAACGUCGCAAGACCAAAGAGGGGGACCUUCGGGCCUCUUGCCAUCGGAUGUGCCCAGAUGGGAUUAGCUAGUAGGUGGGGUAACGGCUCACCUAGGCGACGAUCCCUAGCUGGUCUGAGAGGAUGACCAGCCACACUGGAACUGAGACACGGUCCAGACUCCUACGGGAGGCAGCAGUGGGGAAUAUUGCACAAUGGGCGCAAGCCUGAUGCAGCCAUGCCGCGUGUAUGAAGAAGGCCUUCGGGUUGUAAAGUACUUUCAGCGGGGAGGAAGGGAGUAAAGUUAAUACCUUUGCUCAUUGACGUUACCCGCAGAAAAAGCACCGGCUAACUCCGUGCCAGCAGCCGCGGUAAUACGGAGGGUGCAAGCGUUAAUCGGAAUUACUGGGCGUAAAGCGCACGCAGGCGGUUUGUUAAGUCAGAUGUGAAAUCCCCGGGCUCAACCUGGGAACUGCAUCUGAUACUGGCAAGCUUGAGUCUCGUAGAGGGGGGUAGAAUUCCAGGUGUAGCGGUGAAAUGCGUAGAGAUCUGGAGGAAUACCGGUGGCGAAGGCGGCCCCCUGGACGAAGACUGACGCUCAGGUGCGAAAACGUGGGGAGCAAACAGGAUUAGAUACCCUGGUAGUCCACGCCGUAAACGAUGUCGACUUGGAGGUUGUGCCCUUGAGGCGUGGCUUCCGGAGCUAACGCGUUAAGUCGACCGCCUGGGGAGUACGGCCGCAAGGUUAAAACUCAAAUGAAUUGACGGGGGCCCGCACAAGCGGUGGAGCAUGUGGUUUAAUUCGAUGCAACGCGAAGAACCUUACCUGGUCUUGACAUCCACGGAAGUUUUCAGAGAUGAGAAUGUGCCUUCGGGAACCGUGAGACAGGUGCUGCAUGGCUGUCGUCAGCUCGUGUUGUGAAAUGUUGGGUUAAGUCCCGCAACGAGCGCAACCCUUAUCCUUUGUUGCCAGCGGUCCGGCCGGGAACUCAAAGGAGACUGCCGGUGAUAAACUGGGGGAAGGUGGGGAUGACGUCAAGUCAUCAUGGCCCUUACGACCAGGGCUACACACGUGCUACAAUGGCGCAUACAAAGAGAAGCGACCUCGCGAGAGCAAGCGGACCUCAUAAAGUGCGUCGUAGUCCGGAUUGGAGUCUGCAACUCGACUCCAUGAAGUCGGAAUCGCUAGUAAUCGUGGAUCAGAAUGCCACGGUGAAUACGUUCCCGGGCCUUGUACACACCGCCCGUCACACAUGGGAGUGGGUUGCAAAAGAAGUAGGUAGCUUAACCUUCGGGAGGGCGCUUACCACUUUGUGAUUCAUGACUGGGGUGAAGUCGUAACAAGGUA
rnacentral:rRNA from 1 species